AGCCAUUCCUAUCUCUACCGUAGCAUCAGAGUGUGCAUUCAGUACAGGAGGAAGAGUGGUUAGUCCUUAUCGUAGUUGCCUAACGCCUAAAAUAGUGGAAGUGCUUGUUUGCACACAAGAUUGGUUAAAAGGAACACCUUUCUCUAUACUUUUUGAUGAGGAUCCUAAAGAACUUGAUAAAUUUGAGCAAGAGAUAACCUCUCAAGAUGAAGUGGGACCUUCAAGUGUUGCUAUUAAUUUGGAUGAUUGAAGUUUUGCCACAAUUUGUUAGUUAUCUAAAGUACAUGAUGAUUCAUACAUUGAAAGCUACAUAAGCACCAUCGGAGUUGAUUUUGUGAGUUUGGCCUUUACUAGAGUGGUAGAAAUUAUGUGCUUGCUUAUUUUACAGUAGAAGAGACAUAUUGAUCUUU